GCAGUAGAAGACUGGCUACAUUUACUUACUAAAUAAGUAAGUCUCAUUGGCUUCCUACUUCAUGGGACAGGCUCGGAAAGAAAGCCAGCAGGUAUCUGUCCUUGCUCUCUUCUUUUCUUUACAUGUGAAUGCUGGCUGCUUUCAUUUUGUUGUCAUCUUGUGGUAAGAUUCGUUCUUGGGAGAAGGAUUAGAUUAUUAGGUCUAAUCUAAGCAACCUGUUCCAGUUUGAUUUACAAAUAGUUAGAAUUUGGGGUCUAGCCCAAUUAAUAAUGAACUGGCAUUUGGAUUUACCUUUCAUCUGUAUCCCUUAGGCAUUCCAUUAGAGAAGGGUGGCUGUGCCAAGACAAGAUUUGGGUGUCUGUUAGAAUUCUGCACAAAACAACAUCUUACUGCUUUUGAAGCCACUCUUUAAAGCCUUAAAUGCUUUCCUAUCAAUGGGGCCAACAACAAAAAUAUACGUUGGUUAUAGUUUUAUAUAUAUAGAUGUAAUUAUAAUUGAUGUAUAAUUGAUAUAAUUAUAGAACCAAAAAAACUAGACUGACACACAAUUCAUUAAAUUUUUCAUCUGUCGAAUUAUUUCAUGUUAUAUGUGACUGAUUUAACGAUGAUUAGUUAUUUAUAUGGGAUUCUUUCUCCUACCCCAUCGCAAGAGACUAACAGGCAUGACCCAGUUGAAUGGAGUCUCUGCUUGGAGGCCAGGCCGUGAUUGGAGACCUACCCUCACACUUAUAAGAAUAAACACUUCAUUGGAAGACUUCUAAGUCGUUCAGAGAAUGGAAACCAAUUAUUUCUCUUCUGGGAGAAACUGGAGCAGGAAGCAAGUUCUCCUAGCCGCACGUGGAAUGCAAAUGUCCAAAUGUUGCGCGUGGGAAAUAAAUCGAAUUUCUGAGGGUUAAACGAAG
rnacentral:lncRNA from 1 species